AUUGAACGCUGGCGGCAUGCCUUACACAUGCAAGUCGAACGGUAACAGGUCUCCGGAUGCUGACGAGUGGCGAACGGGUGAGUAAUACAUCGGAACGUGCCUAGUAGUGGGGGAUAACUACUCGAAAGAGUGGCUAAUACCGCAUGAGAUCUACGGAUGAAAGCAGGGGAUCGCAAGACCUUGUGCUACUAGAGCGGCCGAUGGCAGAUUAGGUAGUUGGUGGGAUAAAAGCUUACCAAGCCGACGAUCUGUAGCUGGUCUGAGAGGACGAUCAGCCAAACUGGGACUGAGAAACGGCCCAGACUCCUACGGGAGGCAGCAGUGGGGAAUUUUGGACAAUGGGCGCAAGCCUGAUCCAGCAAUGCCGCGUGCAGGAUGAAGGCCUUCGGGUUGUAAACUGCUUUUGUACGGAACGAAAAGCCCUGGGUUAAUACCCUGGGGUCAUGACGGUACCGUAAGAAUAAGCACCGGCUAACUACGUGCCAGCCGCCGCCGUAACAC
rnacentral:rRNA from 1 species